AUUUGAUUUAUUAUUUUUUAAUUUUUUUAUUUAAUAAAAAAGCUAAAAAAAAUUAAUAUAGGUCGGGCCGGGCCUGGCUCGGGCUUACCAAUUUUAUUUUAGGCCAGGCUUGGACAAUUUUUUAAGCCCAUAUUUCGGGUCGGGCCGGGCACGGGCAUUAAAAACGGGCCUAAAAUUUUGUCUUGGCCCGGCUCAAACCCAGCCCAUCCCGGCCCAUGCUCAGCUCUACAUGGAUCCUAGUAAUCUUAGUUUACAGACCGAGAUUAAUAACUUCUAUAGGAAAUUGUGGAAAUUAUACAUCCCUUCAAAAGUUACAUUAACAUUAUGGAGAAUAUCUUGGAAUUUCAUCCCUUCAUUGGUUAAUCUCAAGCAGAAGAAAGUAGUAGAAAAUGCUCUUUGCCAUCGCUGCCGACAAAAUGAGGAAGACAAUUAUCAUAUUUUUCAGCAAUGUCCUACGUCAAGAGAGGUCUGGAAUCAUUUACAACUCUCAUGGGUACUUAACUGUAAUUAUCAAACUAUAUGGGAAUGGCUUACCUGGGUUUUUAGUUAGAGAAUGACUGAACAGAUUCGUUGUUUUUGCUGCGGCCUUUGGCUAGUCUGGUUCAACAGAAAUCGGGUAAUAUAUGAUAAAAUAAAUGUGUCACGGAGGGACAUUGCGAAGCAAACUCACAGUUAUAUUUCUGAGUUGAACGGGAUCAAAGGGAUGAGACUUACUGCUCAGUCUACUGAAGGAGCGAUACAGGAAAGAAGAAGAUCAGAAGUCACAAUCUCUUUCGACGCGGCCUUUGACCAACAAGUCUUCAGACAUUGUUAGUACACGACGCAGAAGGAAAAAUUUUAGCAUCCAAAACGACCAUCCACUCCGAAAUCGCAAAUCCAUUUGUGGCAGAGGCUCAUGUAGGGUUACAAGCAGUCAAGUUAGGGAUAUUCUUGGGGCUUAAUAAACUAGAAAUUUUGGGAGAUUCAAAGACCGUAAUUAAAAAAUGCCAGAGCAUAAAUACAGACAAAUCGAACAUCGGUGCGAUUAUCAGAGAUAUUCAACAUAAGAAAGACAGUUUUCAAGAGAUAAAGUUUCACUUCAUACCCAGAACAGAAAAUUUUCAUGCUCAUACUCUAGCGAAAAAGGCGUUAAAGAGAGGAGAUGACCAUUACCUGGUAGGAGAACUUCCAGAAUUUGCUCGCCAAACUUUGGAGGAAUGGAGGCCUAGAGAACCGAAUUGAGAGAAAAUGAAGAUUAAUGAUUGUUUGAAAGAGGUAGUAGGAAAAAUUAAUUGAUUCCCUUGGAAACUGCUAC
rnacentral:lncRNA from 1 species